rnacentral:lncRNA from 1 species
AAAAGAGGCAAUGGUUUUAUUUUCAUACACAUUGACAAAGAGCAAGACAGAAGGAUCUAUGAGUUUAAACGGCACAUCCUCAACAGAGACACUAGGCAGGGGGAACUGUAAAUACAGAGACCACAUCAGGAAAUACACUAAAAGGGAAGAGGGGGGGAGAAUAUGAGCCAGCACAGCGACGGCAUUUGAUACACAUAACCUUUAAAUGUGUGCCGACACAAGGGCAGCACGCCAUCAGAAAAACAUUUCGAAGAAAACUAGACGUUUAAAAAGAAAAGGACUGCUCAUGUAUGGAAGACAUUCUCAACUCAUUUCACUAAAACCUUCAUCAGAAAAAAAAACAAGAAAGCAAAUAAGUGUGCAUUGGCUUUUUCGAGAGUAAAUAUCCCUGAGCAAAAGGCUCAAUCAGCAUAGAAGUAAACUUCCCCCCCCGAGCAACACUUGGACGUUUACUCAGAGAGCGAAAACAAGGUGCACAAGUUCAAAAAAGGAGAGCCACUGACAACUAUCAAGACCUUUCAGGAUGUUUUGCAUGCUUCUUCUUGCUAAGUUGCUUUUAAACCGCACAUAUACUGAAUCACCUCCGGUCUGUUUUAGUUUUAGGACUUGCACGUCUUUCUUCAAGGCAUCCACCAGUUCAGAAAACAAGCAAACAUCAGCUGCUUGCCAUAUUAACUUUUGCCAAAGCUGUCAGUAUAACACAUGGAUCGCAAAAGUGCACUCAUAUGGUGCAUUCGGGUGCUAAAUCUACCUCUCGGGUUUGGUUGUAACAGUGAAGUUAGAACUCAAAGUCAGAGAGGAAACAUUGAGAGCAGACUGAGAACUUUGCGACUAGUUUAGUGUUUUAUCAUGUUUUCACCAACUCAUGAAGACAGCAGGUUAAAAGGUUAUUUCACACAGUAGUAAAACAAAAAGGGGGUUCAGUCAGCAGAUCAGUGCUUCCCACACACAGGUGGUACCUGGGCAGAAACCCCACAUAUAUUUCCCUGCAGUGGCUAACACUGUGGGACACAGGCUGUACGAUGUUAGACAUAUGACCUGAAACAUGUCAUACUGCCGCCAGAGUCUUAUUUUCUAUAAAUUGGUGUUUUGCACUACAUCACAACCUGCUUUAACUUUAUCGGUUGGUGGUCUUUACAAUCACCUCCAGAGGAACUUUCUUAUGUGACUGUAGCUAACGUCUGGGAAUGAGUCAAACAGAGUCAGAUCCAUUCAGCAAUGCCAGGCUGCCAUCGCAGAAAGCUGGCAAAGAGAGAUUUCUGGACUUGUUUUGGUGCCUUUUUGUUUCAGUACUUGUUCAUGUUAAGGUGGAUUACCAGUGAGGUUUCCACAGUAUUUACACACCUGUGGCACAUGUACAGCGUGGUUUAAUGAGCUUCGGUGUCCGAUGUUUAACAUGAGACACCACAGCUCAUUAUAACUGUUUAGAUAGACACUAGCCUAAUUGUAGAAAUAAUAGCUAACCCAGCUACUACUCUGGUAGGAGUUGACUGAUAUUGAUUUUUCUCUAGUUCAUAAGACCAAUAACCAUAUUUUAGAAUCAAUAUGCAUUUUACAGUAAAACUGAAUACUUCUCCUGUAAACGCCGUCACCAAGGUAAUACUUAUGUGACGAAUGACCAAUCAGACAAUGUAACAGGAGGAGUACACACUUUUUUGACCAGUUAAUUUGAUCCCAAAUGCUGAUAUAGUAACCUGUACCAGCCCCCCGACUGAAAGAGAGAUGAGUUUUAUUGUUUGUUAAAGACCCACCCUGUCCUCUACCACAGGUACAGCUCCAUUCUGUGGGAAACACUGGUGUUAAGGGUUUGAAGGUAUUUGGCUGGAUAAUGAGUUGGUUCCUAAUUUCUGAUCACACACACAGCAGCAUCUUUCUGCUCUCAAAAUAAACCGUACCAUUGUGGUCAGUGUAGUGCUGAGGAGAUAAAGUGUAUUCAAGGUCCAGCUCUUCAAAAAAAAAAAAACAGAAAUUAAUGUGCACUUUGACGUUGAAUUUUCACCGUUAGCCUGUUCUGCUAAAGGUAUACUAUAAUGUUAUUUUUUCAUUUGUUAUGUUAUGAUCUAAAAGAAUAUUUAUGAUUAUUAAGACUUGGAGUGAUUUUUUUUGUUUGUUUAAAACCAAGUUUACAAGUGCUCUGAGUACAACAAAUCAAUUACAUGAAACUCUCCAUUCUACAGUGGUUUCAGCAGGAAUCUCUGAGGCGGUUAUAUUUAAGAAAAAAAAAACUAACUAAGAGUUAAACUGACACUACCAUCUUGACUAGAUAUUUUUGCAUUGAUUUAGUUCAACUUACCAGCUAAAAUCAACAAUAAGAAACAAAGAUUGAAACUUUUUGGGUCAUGCCAACAUUCCAAAGCAGGAGUUUUUCCAGUCUUUGUACGUGUUUGGGAUCAACGAAUCCCAUUAAAUACAAAGAAAUCACAGGGAGUGUGAUGGGAAUACACUCUUCUAUCUUGAGAUAUUUUAAGAGUCCAGGUUCAGUUCUUGGGUA